rnacentral:rRNA from 1 species
UACGGGGGGGGCAAGCGUUGUUCGGAAUUACUGGGCGUAAAGGGCUCGUAGGCGGCCAACUAAGUCAGACGUGAAAUCCCUCGGCUUAACCGGGGAACUGCGUCUGAUACUGGAUGGCUUGAGUUUGGGAGAGGGAUGCGGAAUUCCAGGUGUAGCGGUGAAAUGCGCAGAUAUCAGGAGGAACACCGGUGGCGAAGGCGGGUCUCUGGGCAACAACUGACGCUGAGGAGCGAAAGCGUGGGGAGCGAACAGG